UAAGGAAUAUUGGUCAAUGGACGCAAGUCUGAACCAGCCAUGCCGCGUGAAGGAUGAAGGUCCUCUGGAUUGUAAACUUCUUUUAUUUGGGACGAAACACUUUCUUUCUAGAGAGCUUGACGGUACCAGAUGAAUAAGCACCGGCUAACUCCGUGCCAGCAGCCGCGGUAAUACGGAGGGUGCAAGCGUUAUCCGGAUUCACUGGGUUUAAAGGGUGCGUAGGCGGGCAGGUAAGUCAGUGGUGAAAUCUCCGAGCUUAACUCGGAAACUGCCGUUGAUACUAUCUGUCUUGAAUAUUGUGGAGGUAAGCGGAAUAUGUCAUGUAGCGGUGAAAUGCUUAGAUAUGACAUAGAACACCUAUUGCGAAGGCAGCUUACUACGCAAUCAUUGACGCUGAGGCACGAAAGCGUGAGGAUCAAACA
rnacentral:rRNA from 1 species